rnacentral:lncRNA from 1 species
AGAACAACUUGUCAGGUGGUGCAUUGGAGACUGAUGUGUUCCUGUCCUGUCUUUUCAUAAUACUAUUGCAGAUCAACAUAAAAGCCUAAAAGACAGCCGUGGUGUCGCUCUUCAUUUCUUGGUUCUCCUGUGGUGCAUAAGAGACCCGCUACAUACAUGUAGUUAUUACCAUGCAUGAGAUGCCCACAUUGUAGCCUGUACUUUUAAUAUAUUCACUGAUCAUGUACUUUACCUCGGCAAAUAAAGGUGCAGUUCAGGUAUGAAUGUUUUUGAGAUAAUUUUUCAGUCAUAUCCAAUACCAGGAGGAUCAAAUUCCAGUCUUUGAUGCUGUGUCUGCAUGGAUGUAUUACAUUUAUCCACUUCAACAGUGUUUACAAUCUUUGUCCUGGGACAUCAAUGGUUACAUAUUGUAACUAUGCAAUAGUUUAACUAGUUAAAGGAUGAUUUGUUAUUCAUAUAUACAGAAAUAGAAUUUAAAAAAACUUCUCUCUCUCCCUUCUCUCACCCCCUUCCCUCUCCUCCUCUCCCCCUCACUCCCUUCUCUCUCUCACUUCUCUCUCCCCCCUCCCUCCCUCCCCCUUCUCUCCGUUCUUUCUUCCCCUCUCCCCUUCUCUCUCCGCCUCUCCCCAUUCUCUACCAUCUCACUCUCUCCCCCUUCUCUCUCCUCCUCACUCCCUUCUCUCUCCCCUCACUCCCCAUUUCCCCCUUCUCUGUCCCCCUCUCCCCUUCUCUCUCCCCCUCCUCUCUCCCCCUCUUCCCCUCUCUCACUUUUCUCUCUCCUAUCCCCUCCCUCCAUCCCCCCUACUCUCUCCACCUCUCUCCGUUCUUCUCCCUUCUUUCUCCCCCUCUCCCCCUUCUCUCUCCCCAUUCCCUCCCAUCUCCCUCUCUUCCCCUCUCUCCCUAUCUCCCUCUUCCCCUCUCUCCCUUCUCUCUCCCCAUCUCUUCCCCUCUCUCCCUUCUCCCCAUCUGCCUCUCUUCCCCUCUCUCACUUCUCUCUCCCCUCUCUCCCUUCUUUCUCCCCCUCUCCGCCUCUCCUCCCUCUCUCUGCCCCUCUCCCCCUUCUCUCUCCCCGUUCUCCCUCUCUUCCCCUCUCUCCCUUCUCUCCCUCUCUUCCCCUCUCUCCCUUCUCUCUCCCCAUCUCUUCCCCUCUCCCACUUCUCUCUCCCCCUCUUCCCCUCUCUCACUUCUCUCUCCCCCUCUCUCCCUUCUCUCUCCCCCCUCUAGCUGUUCUCUCCCUUCUUUCUCCCCCUCCUCUCUCCCCCUCUCCCCCUUCUCCCCAUUCUCUCUCUCCCUUCUCUCUCCCCCUCCCUUCCCCUUCUCUUUCCCCCCUCACCCCUCUCUCCCUUCUCUCUCCCCAUCUCUUCCCCUCUCCCCCUACUCUCUCCCCCUCUUCCCCUCUCUCCCUUCUCUCUCCCCCCUCUAGCUGUUCUCCCCCUUCUCUCUCCCCCUCCCUCCCCCUUCUCUCUCCCCCUCUCUCCCUUCUCUCUCCCCAACUCUCCCUCCUCUCUCCACCUCUCCCCUUCUCUCUCCGUCUCUUGCUCCAUCACUUCUACAACCGGUACUUCCAGUAGUGCCGCAUUGAGCUUCAAUGAACAUUUCCAGCUAUCAAAACCACCACCACUACCCCCUGGACCAGCCACGGACUACCCAGGUUUGAUGCCCCAAAGUCCGCCUCCACCUCAUCCACCACCCAUUGAGCCAGUGGAAGCAGUGGAGAGACACCAGUGCUCAACACCCUCUCCCCAGGUUUAGGUGACCCUAGCCAUGCUAGUGAUGGGAAUGGAGGGGCAUCUAUGAUGGAUGCCAGCAUCAUGACUUCCACAAGCUGUCUGUUCAAGCCAAGCCUACCACCACCACCACUUCCACCAAGGGGGGCCCUGUCGUCCGGCCUCUGCCCAUGCUCGGUGAGGGUUCCCAGGCACAGCUCCGGCCACCGAUGGCCUCCCCUUGAUGUCUCUCUCCAACCCCCUCUACAGAGAGUCUAUGAUGACUUCUCACAACUGUGCCAACACAGCCUCCUCCUCUUCCUCCUCUUCCUCCUCUUCCUCCUCCUUCGCUCCAGUCUUCCCUCCAUCCCUGCCCUGCGCUAACUGUGGCUACAUCCAGGGCUCUACAGCCCCCACUACCUCACGGCUGCCCCAAAGAGGACAGGCUAGUCCGGAGAGACUCUACUACCUCCAUCCCCUCUAUAUAUCCACAAAGAGAGAUCUAAAUUGACAAAUAAAGGUGGCCAACAGGGGGCAGCAGAGGCACACCAUUCCAUAACAACAGCUAUACUUGUAGGAGUGUUUACAUUUUGUGAUGUAACCCCAUAAUUAGGUUGGGGGUUUUUUCCCAAAUGGCACCCUACUCCCUAUAUAGUGCACUACUUCUAACCAGGAACCAUGGGGCUCUUGUCAAAGAUAGUACACUAUAUAGGGAAGGUUCUGACAUAUGUAAUAUUACUGCUACAGUAUAUUGGUGGGGCUUACUAUGUGGUUAUCUGGAUCUGUAGCCAGUGGGUGGGGUUUACUAUGUGGUUAUCUGGAUCUGUAGCCAGUGGGUGGGGCUUACUAUGUGGUUGUCUGGAUCUGUAGGCAGUGGGUGGGGCUUACUAUGUGGUUGUCUGGAUCUGUAGCCAGUGGGUGGGGCUUACUAUGUGGUUGUCUGGAUCUGUAGCCAGUGGGUGGGGCUUACUAUGUGGUUGUCUGGAUCUGUAGCCAGUGGGUGGGGCUUACUAUGUGGUUGUCUGUAUCUGUAGCCAGUGGGUGGGGCUUACUAUGUGGUUGUCUGGAUCUGUAGCCAGUGGGUGGGGCUUACUAUGUGGUUGUCUGGAUCUGUAGCCAGUGGGUGGGGCUUACUAUGUGGUUGUCUGGAUCUUGCAGGCAGUGGGUGGGGCUUACUAUGUGGUUGUCUGGAUUUGUAGCUAGUGGGUGGGGCUUACUAUGUGGUUGUCUGGAUCUGUAGCCAAUGGCUUGUUAUUGGCUACCCAUAUAUUAACAUCUCAUACAGUAAGGCAUAGCAAUAGUAGCAUAGGAAUCCUGUAUAUAUGAUGUAAUAACCUAAUAAUGAAUAUUAUAUUGUCCUGACUGUCCUGAUCAGGUCAGGUUACAGGAGACCACAACACUACAGAUUAUCUCUCAACCCCCAACAGAGGAGGAGAGAUCUAGGGGUCUGAAGAUGUGGGGGUUUUAUGACCCCUCACGCCCAUGAUAGUCUUAGGCCACAGAGAAAUUCCUUUGUCCUCUCACUGUGGAGAACCUGCCUCAGAACAUUAAACAUGCAAUAAAGGGACUUUGGAACAAUGGUUUCCGUCAGCCACAAGGGUGGUUAUGACGAUAGAUGGGAUAUGAAAAUGUGUGUAAUUUUUGUUUUGUUAUUAAAGGUUAAUAGAUGACGUUAUUACGAAAACAUUGUACCUUUAAGAGUUUUCACAGUAUAUGCCUGAUGUUUAUACAUUGUACGUUGUGUGGAAAAUGUCCAAAUCAAAGAGAAUGUUUUGGUAAAGAUGAAAUGUGAAGUUAGUUGUCUAAAAUUGGAUUUGGGUAAAAUCUAGACCUCCAGCCUCUUAACUUGGUCCGCCCAGAGAAUUGCCCUAAAGGCGGUUACGCCCACUUCUGACCCGAGGGUAUUAGACAUGGGAGUUAAGAAUUAACAUACAGACUAAGUGACCCAAGCUGCAGCAGAGGUCUAAAAAGUCAACGAACCCCAAAACGCAACACAAGGAAGAAGACAAAUAAAUAUUCUUCUACCCAUGCUAUGGAUGAGUAGCUGUGUCUAAGCGGGUGAACUCAAGCCGGAACACCUGGCCUACACACCUGGCCUACUGGUAUCUACGCUGUUUCAUUCCUACGUUGUGAGCUCUGAGCUACAGACCUGGCUGUCCUCAGACGACCCCUUUCAGAGCCAGGGCGAGGAAUCAGACCACUAAGCCAAAAGGACACUGACAUCGUGAGGACAACCAGAGAGUUGCGCCGGAGAAGUGCGUCAUUGAGAAGCCUAAACGACCCACGCGGAGCUUCCCAUCUGAGACCUCCAACACGUAAUUACAUCAUUAUAUUCUGACCCAUAAGAGCGGCAGUUCGGGGCAAGGCUAGGGUUAAAAUAAGCAUAGCUGACAAAUGCACCCAAAUGUAUAUUUCUCUUGUGUACUUUCUCUUGUUCUCUCUCUUUUAAAUCCCGUUUUGGGUAACACGCGCCAUAGUGUGUUGGCCCGUUAUACUAAGUCCUAAUCAAUAGCCUAGACUGUGUUUUGUGUAUGUGUAUCUUUUAUCAUCAUUUUAGUUUUCUAGUAAAUAAAUAAUCAACUAAAAUUGGUGUGGUACGAACUCAUUGGUGGGACCC